CUGACCUCGUCGGAUCUCAGGCGCCCAGCAGGGCUGGCUCUGGCGAGUGGUUGCAGAGGGGGACCCUCCAAGGGACACCCCCAGGGUCGCCACGCAGAGGAAGCAGCGGCAGCAGCAGCGGCAGAGCGCGCGCAGGACUCGGCGGAGCGGUAUCUCCUGGCGGUCGGUUGGCCAUUCGGCGCGAGUCAGUUGCUGGGGAGGUUCCGUUCCCCGCCCGGGUUCUAGAGCUUUUCCCUCCCAGCAGGGCACGGGCGGAAAGGAGCGCUGGACUGCUGGGGCGGGGCUGCCAAAGGGGGGGGGGCAGCAUGAAAAGGAGAACUUCUCCGUAAAGCUGUACGCAGAGGAAUACUUGAGUCAAUCCUCUACUAUAUUGAACGUGAGUGCAAUUUGCCGGAAAUAGCUCAUGUGCACAUGCUGUAUCCUUGAGUACAAAUGUAACCUUUAUAGUAAAUGGCAAGACUUAUACCCGCGGAUAUUACUCUUCACACCUAGCUUCGGGCAUGUAAUGGGGGGGUUUGCACCCAUGAACCCUUCCUUACCUAUGUCCUAGUCUGCUUUGCACAACAGGCCAGAACUAUUAUAUGUUGAUUAUUGUUGCUGUAUUUGUUUAACAUGUUUCACUGUUGUACUGUCAUUAUUAUUUAUGAAACAAAGAACAGAUUUAAAGUGGUUGUUGUAAGUCUUAUUAAUGCUAAGGGUCCCAAGGUGGGAUCACACUGUCAAAGGCUUGAACUCCUUUUCCAUUGAGGAUAAUAUCCCCUCUUAUUUUAAGAGGGUUACACUGACAUGCCAAUAAAG